UGGGGAAUAUUGCACAAUGGAGGGAAAUCUGAUGCAGCGACGCCGCGUGAACGAAGAAGGCUUUCGAGUCGUAAAGUUCUUUUAUAUGGGAAGAUAAUGACGGUACCAUAAGAAAAAGCCCCGGCUAACUACGUGCCAGCAGCCGCGGUAAUACGUAGGGGGCUAGCGUUGUCCGGAAUCACUGGGCGUAAAGGGUUCGCAGGCGGAAAUGCAAGUCAGGUGUAAAAGGCAGUAGCUUAACUACUGUAAGCAUUUGAAACUGCAUAUCUUGAGAAGAGUAGAGGUAAGUGGAAUUUUUAGUGUAGCGGUGAAAUGCGUAGAUAUUAAAAAGAAUACCGGUGGCGAAGGCGACUUACUGGGCUCAUUCUGACGCUGAGGAACGAAAGCGUGGGUAGCAAACAGG
rnacentral:rRNA from 2 species